rnacentral:rRNA from 1 species
UACGAAGGGGGCUAGCGUUGUUCGGAUUUACUGGGCGUAAAGCGCACGUAGGCGGAUUGUUAAGUCAGGGGUGAAAUCCCGGAGCUCAACUCCGGAACUGCCUUUGAUACUGGCAAUCUUGAGGCUGGAAGAGGUUAGUGGAAUUCCCAGUGUAGAGGUGAAAUUCGUAGAUAUUGGGAAGAACACCAGUGGCGAAGGCGGCUUCCUGGACCGGCAUUGACGCUGAGGCGCGAAAGCCAGGGGAGCAAACGGG